UAGGGAAUAUUGGGCAAUGGACAAACGUCUGACCCAGCCAUGCCGCGUGGAGGAAGACGGCCCUCUGGGUUGUAAACUCCUUUUAUCAGGGAAGAAGAGCGGGCUUGCGAGCCUGUGUGACGGUACCUGAGGAAUAAGCACCGGCUAACUCCGUG
rnacentral:rRNA from 1 species